GACGAACGCUGGCGGCGUGCCUAAUACAUGCAAGUCGAGCGAAGUUUUUCUGGUGCUUGCACCGGAAAAACUUAGCGGCGAACGGGUGAGUAACACGUAAAGAACCUGCCUUAUAGACUGGGACAACUAUUGGAAACGAUAGCUAAUACCGGAUAACAGCAUUAACUGCAUGGUUGAUGUUUGAAAGUUGGUUUUGCUAACACUAUGAGAUGGCUUUGCGGUGCAUUAGCUAGUUGGUGGGGUAAAGGCCUACCAAGGCGACGAUGCAUAGCCGACCUGAGAGGGUGAACGGCCACACUGGGACUGAGACACGGCCCAGACUCCUAAGGGGAGCAGCCGUAGGGAAUCUUCCGGCAUGGGCGAAAGCCUGACGGAGCAACGCCGCGUGAGUGAAGAAGGAUUUCGGUUCGUAAAGCUCUGUUGUUAGGGAAGAAUGAUUGUGUAGUAACUAUACACAGUAGAGACGGUACCUAACCAGAAAGCCACGGCUAACUACGUG
rnacentral:rRNA from 1 species